rnacentral:rRNA from 1 species
UGGGGAAUUUUGCACAAUGGGGGAAACCCUGAUGCAGCGACGCCGCGUGAUUUAGAAGGCCUUCGGGUUGUAAAAAUCUUUUCUAUGGGAAGAAAAUGACAGUACCAUAGGAAUAAGGACCGGCUAAUUACGUGCCAGCAGCCGCGGUAAUACGUAAGGUCCGAGCGUUGUCCGGAAUCAUUGGGCGUAAAGGGUACGUAGGCGGGUAAGCAAGUUAGAAGUGAAAUCCUAUAGCUCAACUAUAGUAAGCUUUUAAAACUGCUCAUCUUGAGAGAUGGAAGGGAAAGUGGAAUUCCUAGUGUAGCGGUGAAAUGCGCAGAUAUUAGGAGGAAUACCGGUGGCGAAGGCGACUUUCUGGCCAUAACCUGACGCUGAGGUACGAAAGCGUGGGUAGCAAACAGG